rnacentral:lncRNA from 1 species
UGUGUAAGAGUUUUAGUGGAGUUGGGUUUCUGAGAAGGUUGUUUGUCAGUGGGUUGGUAGGGGGAAAUUUGAAAGAUUUGGGAGUUACUUUUUCUUAUUUUUAUUCUUUUUUUUUCAAAAUUUUUCCCUCUUUCCAGAAAAGAAAACUGACGUUAAUUUUGUGUUUUUUCUCUUUUGCUCUUUCGUUUUUCAAUUGUUUCUUUCCUCUAUUCUGUUUCUAUCGAUUGUUACAUAUCUAUAAUUUGUUUCUUCGUUUUCUUCGGUUGUUGGUAAGUGGAUCCAGUGCUCUGUAUUUUCGAUUUCCAAAUUGUCGAUUGAAAGUUUAUAUUUUCUAUUUUGGCAGUAGUGAAUCAUGUAGAGCGGGUCUC